rnacentral:lncRNA from 1 species
UGUGUUUUUAAAAUAAUAAAUUUUAAUUUUUGCCACAUCAAUAUAAUUUUUAAAUAUUCACUCUUACAUUUUGCAAUCCAGUCGCUCCCUCCCUCCCUCCCUCUCUCUUUCUCCCAUUUUCCUCUCUCCCUCUCUAUUUCUCUCUUUUUAUGACUUUUGGAUUCUGCCAAGCCUUAGAAAAGAAUGAGAUUCUGCUAAUUGGCCUGAGUCAAUCCCUCUUCAGACUUAGAAUCACCAUUUAGCCUCACCAGGGAGAUUUUCCCCAGGAUUCCACUUAGAUUUUUGCAAUAUUGUCUAGAAUUCUCUCUCCCCCCCUUCUCUCUCCCUCUCUCCCUUUCUUCUUCUCCUCUAUCUCCCUCUCCCUCCCCCUCCCUCUCUCUCUCUCUUUCUAAUCUCUCUCUCUUUCUCAUCUCUCUCUCUCUCUUCUCUCUCNUUUUCCCCUCUCUAUCCUUUUCUCUAUCCCGUUCUCCCUCUCUUCUUUCCCUCUCACCUCCUCUCUCCCGCCUUUCUCCUCCACAAGGAGGUAUACCCAGAAGGCCCAUCACCCCUUCCUCUGAGGAUAUGACUUAAUACCAAAGCAAUGGAUAUGUGUCAAGAUCUACAUGAUUUCUCUGGUCUGGGUUGAUUUUCAAACAAUGCUCUUUAGGGGGGAUAUGAUAUCUCUAAACUUGGCUUUUCCCUUCUGGCUGUCCUUUUGAGCUGGUGCAUGCAGAUCCCACAGAGGAGUAAAAGGUAAUUAAAAGGGAUUGGUGAAUGAAGAGGGAGUAUAUAUUUCUUUUAAUCUUUUGGAGCAAACAAUUAAGAAUUUAUUUAGCUAAAACACAAUUGUAAAUGGGAUGCCUCCUAGAUACAAGUCUUAUAUAAGAAAUCAUUUUAAAAGAAUUGCAAUAUGCCUGACUACUUAACUACAGAUUUAAUAUAACUUGCUGUCUAAUUAGCUAGACUCUGAGACCCUCUGCUUGUUCACCUCCCAUCUUUUCCUCCUACUAUUCAUGGCAAAGUGUCAAUGAGUAGGAUGGUAGAAUCUGACUUUAAUAAAGCCACCUUAGGUGUUUUUUUUUUUUAUCUA